CUGAAAUCUCUACGCACACGUCAAGAAUGAAGAAUAAUGGCUGACGCUUGUACGAAAACAGAAACGGAUUGAAGAUUGCUUAAAAUCCAUCAUUUGUGUUUAGCAUCUAGCUGGAAGGCGAACAGGCUUGCGGAGUGCAGCCGCCUGCUCUGAGACUUCAGCACGUCAAAACACAUCAACAGGCGGAAUCAAACCAACGUUUGAAAGAUCUGACUUUCAACGCAGCAUGACUUCUGACAUGGUCAUACCGCCGCCAUGGACUGGAUUUGGUGACUUAAGGCUGCUUAUCCCAUCCGUUUGAGCCACCUCACCCCGCUACUGUAAAGGAUCCUGAUAAGGAGGAGAUUCAUGUGCAUGCCUGCAGUGAGGCUCUUCCCAGCAGGGAACAACAGCAACAAGACGGGGAGACAAGAGCCACAAAGAAAUCUUGCUGAUUCCAGGCUGCAAGGUGCCGUCUUAAUUCCUACCCUUCGAGCAGUACCUUCUUAGCCGUCCUUUUCAGUGACUGUCAGGCAGCAGGAAGCUCUGGAAUCAGGAUGCAGCUUUGACUUUCCCAAGGACGCAUCAUCUGUCAACGCCUGGACGUUGAGAGGCAGACGGAUGGCGUGCUGCUUCCCCCAGUUCAGGUUGUGUUAAGCAAUUAAGGAGUUUAAAAUACUGCAUGUCUGGUGUGUAGUCUCCUUCUCGUCUGGAGAGACUUAGGUUAUAAAUUAUCUGAUUUACGGCUGCAAACCACUUAAGUCGAGGAGCCGUUUCAAAGAAAAACAAUAAAUAAAUAAAAAAUCUACCUAUUCUAUUAGACGAGUGCAUUAGCAAUCGUGAGCCAGCAAUUAUCUGUAUUGUAAUUGUCCCUAAUCAUCCACUUAGUGCAGAACACAAACACAUGAAUGUGGACGGCAGCAGCAGCUGCAGGCAGAUGUGAUCCAAACAGCUGUGGAAGCUCACAGAUUCACUCAACACUUAAUGUGGUCUAAAGUAACACACCAUUUUAUUUUAAAGGGUUCGUCUAUUUACUUUUUUGUUGCUAAAAUAACAUUUGCAAAAAAAAAAAAUUAUAAUUUUUCAAAUAAAUAAAAAUUUUAAAAAAAGAAAAGUUGCUCCAGAUCCUGUAAAUAACCCGCAGCUAAGAGGGAGACGUGCAGAUUAAGAGCUAUUUAGCUAGAUAAAUGUUUCUCUCUAAUUAAAUAAAAUCAGCGGCUGACACUUAAACAGUCACUGUUUAAGUGGUUCCAGCACACAGUGGAGCUCCUAACCCCCCCUCUGUCCCGUAAUACUGGCGACAAUGAAGACAGCUACAGUAAAUAGAAAAGGCACUUAGAGGGUGUGGGUGGACGGUUCCCUGAAAAUACACCCCGAGGCCGGUGCUUGACAAGAAAGUCAAUGAAACAGACAACAGCUUGCACUUAGCUGAGAGUAAUUAAAACCUUAAGAAAAAAA